AGCCUCAGGAGGCUGAAAAGUGGUCUGUUUCAGCACAUCCGGUAUUUCAGGAACACCUGUUUUUCGGCCUCUGGAGCCUGGGAGAGGACA